UACGUAGGGGGCGAGCGUUGUCCGGAUUUAUUGGGCGUAAAGAGCUCGUAGGCGGCUUGGCAAGUCGGGUGUGAAACCGUCCAGGCUCAACCUGGAGACGCCACUCGAUACUGCUAUGGCUAGAGUCCGGUAGGGGCCACGGAAUCCUGGUGUAGCGGUGAAAUGCGCAGAUAUCAGGAGGAACACCGGUGGCGAAGGCGGUUCUCUGGGCAUGUCCUGACGCUGAGGAGCGAAAGUGUGGGGAGCGAACAGG
rnacentral:rRNA from 1 species